UAAAGGUCACGCAGCGGUCGUAGCGGGUU
rnacentral:sRNA from 1 species